GAUGAACGCUGGCGGCGUGCUUAACACAUGCAAGCCGAACGAAGCACUUUAUUUGAUUUCCUUCGGGACUGAUUAUUUUGUGACUGAGUGGCGGACGGGUGAGUAACGCGUGGGUAACCUGCCUUGUACAGGGGGAUAACAGUUGGAAACGGCUGCUAAUACCGCAUAAGCGCCCAGCAUCGCAUGAUGCAGUGUGAAAAACUCCGGUGGUAUAAGAUGGACCCGCGUUGGAUUAGCUAGUUGGUGAGGUAACGGCCCACCAAGGCGACGAUCCAUAGCCGACCUGAGGGGGUGACCGGCCACAUUGGGACUGAGACACGGCCCAAACUCCUACGGGAGGCAGCAGUGGGGAAUAUUGCACAAUGGGCGAAAGCCUGAUGCAGCGACGCCGCGUGAGCGAAGAAGUAUUUCGGUAUGUAAAGCUCUAUCAGCAGGGAAGAUAAUGACGGUACCUGACUAAGAAGCACCGGCUAAAUACGUG
rnacentral:rRNA from 1 species